rnacentral:ncRNA from 1 species
GAGAGCCGUAUGAGGUGAAAUCUCAUGUACGGUUCUGUAGAGUGCAGUAAGGGUGACUUAUCUGUCAACUUUUAC